rnacentral:rRNA from 1 species
UACAGAGGUCCCAAGCGUUGUUCGGAUUCACUGGGCGUAAAGGGUGCGUAGGUGGUGAGGUAAGUCGGAUGUGAAAGCUCCGAGCUCAACUCGGAAAUGGCAUUGGAAACUACCUUGCUAGAGGGUUUGAGGGGGGACUGGAAUACUUGGUGUAGCAGUGAAAUGCGUAGAUAUCAGGAAGAACACCAACGGCGAAGGCAGCUCGCUGGGACGGUACUGACGCUGAGACGCGAAAGCGUGGGGAGCGAACAGG